CUAAGUCGAUGGCGACCGGCGCACGGGUGAGUAACACGUAUCCAACCUGCCGAUGACUCGGGGAUAGCCUUUCGAAAGAAAGAUUAAUACCCGAUGGCAUAGUUCUUCCGCAUGGUGGAACUAUUAAAGAAUUUCGGUCAUCGAUGGGGAUGCGUUCCAUUAGGUUGUUGGCGGGGUAACGGCCCACCAAGCCUUCGAUGGAUAGGGGUUCUGAGAGGAAGGUCCCCCACAUUGGAACUGAGACACGGUCCAAACUCCUACGGGAGGCAGCAUG
rnacentral:rRNA from 1 species